UCCUAAAAGAAGAAGUAAGAGUCCUUAUUGUUGGCAGUAAAAUCAGUGUUAAGGCUGCAGGUCGAAAGGGAGUCUGGAUUUCUAAAUAUUCCUAGUCAGAAUACUGCCAACACUAAAUUAGGUCUAUUUUGUUUUUAAAAUAGCUCUUGUCUGAUAAAUGCCUAUUUCCUUUGUAGAUACACAAUCUCAAGCCAAUGCUGUCUGUAAAGGUAAGUUUCUGUUCUUGUACUUACAGAACGCUAAGUAAAUAAAAAUAGUACCUUUAGUUGUGCCUUUGUGCCAUAAUGAUGAUACUUAUUUGCUACUCUUGAGAAAAUAAUGAUGAGAACACUUAACCCACCUUUGUUUCAAACUGAGGCACAAUCUAUGCUCUUAAAAAGAAUCUUUUGUAAUUUAAAACAGACAUUAAAACAUUUGCUGUUUUCUCUACAGGGUUUCACAAAUGAUUCUGUGAUCAUGGAACAAGGAUUGAUUCUGUGUUUGCAAAUAUGGGAACGCUACCCAUUGAUGUGCUGGCCUUCGGCUUCUCUAAUAUGGAUCAGCUUCAGAUGAUCAAACAUGGUUUCACAAAUGAUUCUGUGAUCAUGGAACAAGGAUUGGUAAGUUAUAAGAUUUAAAUAGUCUGUUAGGUUAUUUUGUCCAAGGAAGGAUGUGUGUGAUGAAAACAUAGUUCAGCAGAUAAUCUGUGAUGAACUCUUUGUCUUUCGCUCCUAUCUGAUGCAUCCUCUAUUUAAAGCUAGUCUGCUCUUGGAUUGUUCCUGAUACAGACAGGCCUACUUUAAGUAAUUGUUUGUUAAAAACCCCUCUGACCUCAACAGUAACUUGGUAGCUGAAUGGCAUUUUUAGAUUUCUGCUGAUAAACAUGAAAAUUUUGUCAUUUCAUUGUAUUCACUUACUUAUAUCUGAAUUUAAAAUAAAUUAUAUGUCCCUCCCA
rnacentral:lncRNA from 1 species